GCGCAGCAGUCGCGAAACCUUCGCAAUGCGGGAAACCGCGACGAGGGGACUCCCAGUGCCUACGCUCAGCGUAGGCUGUUCCCGAGCCUAGAAAGCUCGGGGAGUAAGGGCUGGGUAAGACGGGUGCCAGCCGCCGCGGUAAUACCCGCAGCCCGAGUGGUGGCCACUAUUAUUGGGCCUAAAGCGUCCGUAGCCGGCCCGGUAAAUGCCUGGGUAAAUCGUGAGGCCUAACCUCACGAAUUCCGGGUAGACUGCCGGGCUAGGGGACCGGAGGAGGGAGAGGGUACUCCAGGGGUAGGGGUGAAAUCCUGUAAUCCCUGGAGGACCACCGGUGGCGAAGGCGCUCUCCUAGGACGGGUCCGACGGUGAGGGACGAAAGCCAGGGGAGCGAACCGGAUUAGAUACCCCUGUAGU
rnacentral:rRNA from 1 species